rnacentral:rRNA from 1 species
CCUACGGGUGACAGCAGUGGGGAAUAUUGCACAAUGGGGGAAACCCUGAUGCAGCGACGCCGCGUGAGUGAAGAAGCAAUUCGUUAUGUAAAGCUCUAUCAGCAGGGAAGAAAAUGACGGUACCUGAGUAAGAAGCCACGGCUAACUACGUGCCAGCAGCCGCGGUAAUACGUAGGGGGCAAGCGUUAUCCGGAUUUACUGGGUGUAAAGGGAGCGUAGACGGCAGUGCAAGUCUUGAGUGAAAGGCGGGGGCUAAACCCCCGGACUGCCCUGGAAACUGUACGGCUGGAGUGCAGGAGAGGUAAGUGGAAUUCCUGGUGUAGCGGUGAAAUGCGUAGAUAUUAGGAGGAACACCAGUGGCGAAGGCGGCUUACGGGACUGUAACUGACGUUGAGGCUCGAAAGCGUGGGUAGCAAACAGGAUUAGAUACCCUAGUAGUC